GUGGAGAACUUAUAUUCUACUUCAACAUCUGCAUGAAACUGUCGGCCGUCAUGUGAGCUUUGUUUGGAUCUUCCUUCCCAUUAUUCCAUUGUCUAUGUUGCUUGGACUCUUAAAAAAUAUCGAUGGUGCUCGUCAUAUUUCUCAAAGUUACUGCUUUUCUUUUUUGAUGAAUUCGUCAUGGAUUUGUCAAUAACUUAUGGUUACUGAUGAAGGAUUCUAUGAAAAUAACGUGUUACAUAUUAGCUGGUUU
rnacentral:misc_RNA from 1 species